AAUUCACAAAGGUGAUACUCGAUCGCAUCUCACAUAAGUAUGUUGUGGUCAAAGCUAUCCUUCUAGACAUGACCAUAACCAAGGUCUAGAUGGAUAGCUCAGGAACCCUCAUCAUUGGCAAAUAUAACUUCAAGAGCCAAAAAAAAAAGAAGCAAAUUCAUCAAACCACAACGGAAGAAUCUUAAUGGAAGAACAGAGGUUUCAUCCAGGUAUAAAAAUAUAUGUUCUAUAGUGGCGCAGGAUGCAAUCAAAAUUGGAUACAGUGUGGCACUUUUCAUCUGGACCUUCAAUCCCAUAUCAUUUUGAAAUCACAUCCUUGUAUUAUUGCCUCUCUAUUGUUAUCUUCAUUGUAGUAACCAUCUUGUAAGAUCCCAGGCAUGUGCAAUGGAUAACCAUGGCCCGCUUUGAAAUGUGCAUCCACAGCUAGCUUGCUGGUUGAUGCCAGACUAUUUUUAAUAUCCACUUGUAUCUUACCAUUAAGUUCAGUCAGAAAUCAAACAUGUUGUUGGAAAUUUCUCUCUCUCUUGGACUUUACAAGCUGAUGAUGGAAAUGUACACUAGAAAUGGGCUUCACAACCAGCACAUUGUAGCUGGUUCAGCACGAUCCAUUUGUGAUGGAUGCAUACUCCUGGUUGAAUGGUGUCACAACCCUGCAUUGGUAAGAAAAAAGGGGAGUGAGGGUCUAGAAGAGUAAAUCUAGAAUGGGAUCUCCCAGAGAACCGUAUUAUUGUAUAUCUAUAACAUAUUUUGUGGUUCGCAUCGGAGCUCUCAUAAGUAUUAUAAUAAUGUGUGAUUAUCCCUUCAAGAAGAAGAUGCAGACUGCUUAGGAAGGUACCCAGAGCUUUGUCUGACGAAGAGGAAAACAACAAAAUGCAAACACUACCAACAAUGAGAAAGAGACUGCAUCAAUCAGACCUAUUGUUAGGAGAAGUGAAGGGGGAAAAAGGCAAACAGUACCAAACAGAAUUGGGCUUCACAAGCGGUACAUCUCGGUGCAUUGCCCAUUCUACAUUUCAUGUACGGAUUUUUAGUAUAGAUUCUCAUGAAAGACUAAAUUUUAAUAUAGAUUCUAGUGCUACUAUAUAUAUCCUCACCACCAGAGUAGACAGCGGCUGUGCUUCUGGAGUACACAGAUGAUGAUAACAUUAAUUCUAGAGUUUUUGCAGUCUGGACUCAUGGCUAAGUUUACUAGGAAAGAUACCAAGUGCAAGCUAUUGCAAACAUAGGAUUUAUCAUUUGGUGGGAAACCAAUGAAGGAGGAACUCUCUGCUAGCACUAAAAAUUCAUAUUGCAUUUAUCACAUAGCAUUUUUAAUUGGUUAUAGUAAGUUCAAAAUUGAUUUGGAGAAGCUUAAUCUAUUCAAAAAUUGAUUUUUAUUUAUUAUCCUGUGUGAAAGUGUAUUAGGAAAAUACAAGACCCUCAUCACUCCCAGUUUAUUGGACGAAUAAAGGGUGAUGAUUAAGCCCCUCUUUGGCAUGGCUUAUGAAGCGGCUUUUAUGAAGCCGUGCCAAAUGGAAACUUGAAAACGGCUCAUGAUAAGAAGCCAGACGGAAGCCCCGCAAAACGCGGUGUCUGCUUCCUCCGCGGGCGAGAACCCAGAAAUUAUAGCUUAUACCGCCUCAUCCCCAACCUAAAACGCUAAAAGAUGCAUGUGCCACUGCUAUUUCAUGGAAACUACUAGAUUUGCCAUUGGGCCAAGCUGCAGUCGGGGCGGAGGCCAGCGGCCGGGGUGGAGCUGGGUGAGCGCGCACAGGUAGUGGCUGGGGCGGAGAUCGGUGGGGGGAGUGGAUGAAGCGGUGUGUCGGAAGGAAAAUGGGAAGAAGGGGCGGCACUUACCCACAAUGAAUGGCGCGGCCGCC
rnacentral:lncRNA from 1 species